rnacentral:tRNA from 1 species
AGCCCCAUGGAGCCUAAUGGAUAAGGCACUGGCCUCCUAAGCCAGGGAUUGUGGGUUCAAGUCCCAUCUGGGGUGA